rnacentral:lncRNA from 1 species
GACCAUGCGUGCAAAUCAGUUGGAGCACAAAUUUACAUGUUACACCCACACCCUACACCCAUGCAUAAUAAUACAUCGUAUAUACGUACGUACAUACAUACCCCUCUCGAUCACACGCACCAUCGAUCGUACAAAGUUGCGUACAUACAUACGUACACACAUAUACGCAUACGCACGUACAUACAUACAUAAUUAAAAACUCGUAAUUAAUUAAAUACGUAGUUGAUGGCAUCUCUAAUGGAACUUGAGGCUGGUGAGGAUGUUGUUGUGGACGGGAUCAGCGAG